rnacentral:tmRNA from 1 species
GGGGAUGUAAAGGUUUCGACGGGGAUUGGAAGCCCUGGUAAGCGAGUAGCGGGGCGGGACCGCUAUAAAAUCCGCAAACUUAAAAUUAAACGACAACAAUACUGUUGCUGUUGCUGCUUAAUUAAGCAGCCGUUCUUACCCGCAGGACCGCGGGCGGGAUAAGAGCGUCGAUUAGCGGUGCACGUGUGCAGGGCCACGCCU